rnacentral:rRNA from 1 species
UACGGAGGGGGCUAGCGUUGUUCGGAAUUACUGGGCGUAAAGCGCACGUAGGCGGCUAUUCAAGUCGGGGGUGAAAGCCCGAGGCUCAACCUCGGAACUGCCUUCGAUACUGCGGGUCUCGAGUCCGGGAGAGGUGAGUGGAAUUCCUAGUGUAGAGGUGAAAUUCGUAGAUAUUCGCAAGAACACCAGUGGCGAAGGCGGCUCACUGGCCCGAUACUGACGCUGAGGCACGAAAGCGUGGGGAGCAAACAGG